GCCUGCUACGUACAGAAUCUCUCUCUAACCUCCACUCAACUCCCCUCUCUUCUCUCCCUGGACAGGAGAUCACCGACGGCGAUUGCCUCCUCUUCACAAUUUUCUCCUAGCACCUAUUCAUUCGGAUUCUAAGCUACGGCACAGCCCAGUACCGCACCGACUGCAACCUGAUGAGCAUACAAAGGAGAAAUAUUAUGAAAAGAAGCUAAGUGAACAUAUUUUCCAUGAAGAAGCAUAGAAUCCAUAUGUGAAAUAUUCUUGGGUAACAAGGUGGAGUCUAUGUGUAGAAUAAGAUGAACUAGGUGUUUGUAUGUCCGAUCAAACCUGAAGAGGAGUAUGGCCAAGAAGUUCGUGCAGUGGUCUGUAGUCAUAGAGUGGAUGCUCUUCUGGAAGUUCAUAUAGAAGCUGAUUUAACACCUGAAAUGGGCAAGAAAGAAUAAUUCUAUUGAUCACAUGAGAUGAACCUAGCCAACCAAGAUGCAUGCUUACAAUAUCAAGUCCUGUAACUGUUUAUCAAGGUAUCAUGUAAUACCUUGGCCCUUAGUAUGUUGUAAUGAAAUCUGCAUAUUUACUUGGCCUUCGAAAAGAAUGUUAGAUAUCGAGAAUUCGAUAAGAAUGACACUUUUUUGUAUUAGCACAAUAUCUCACUGUAAAAAAGUAACUGCAGAGAAUCACAACAUGGGCAUUCUUUCUUUUUCUAUGUA